AGAGUUUGAUCCUGGCUCAGGACGAACGCUGGCGGCGUGCCUAAUACAUGCAAGUCGAGCGGAGUUACUUUGAAAGCUUGCUUUCAAAGUAACUUAGCGGCGGACGGGUGAGUAACACGUAGGCAACCUGCCCCUUAGACUGGGAUAACUACCGGAAACGGUAGCUAAUACCGGAUAAUUUCUUUUUUCUCCUGAAGAAAGAAUGAAAGACGGAGCAAUCUGUCACUGAGGGAUGGGCCUGCGGCGCAUUAGCUAGUUGGUGGGGUAACGGCCCACCAAGGCGACGAUGCGUAGCCGACCUGAGAGGGUGAACGGCCACACUGGGACUGAGACACGGCCCAGACUCCUACGGGAGGCAGCAGUAGGGAAUCUUCCGCAAUGGACGAAAGUCUGACGGAGCAACGCCGCGUGAGUGAUGAAGGUUUUCGGAUCGUAAAGCUCUGUUGCCAGGGAAGAACGUCCGGUAGAGUAACUGCUAUCGGAGUGACGGUACCUGAGAAGAAAGCCCCGGCUAACUACGUGCCAGCAGCCGCGGUAAUACGUAGGGUGCGAGCGUUGUCCGGAUUUAUUGGGCGUAAAGGGCUCGUAGGUGGUUGAUCGCGUCGGAAGUGUAAUCUUGGGGCUUAACCCUGAGCGUGCUUUCGAUACGGGUUGACUUGAGGAAGGUAGGGGAGAAUGGAAUUCCUGGUGGAGCGGUGGAAUGCGCAGAUAUCAGGAGGAACACCAGUGGCGAAGGCGGUUCUCUGGGCCUUUCCUGACGCUGAGGAGCGAAAGCGUGGGGAGCGAACAGGCUUAGAUACCCUGGUAGUCCACGCUGUAAACGGUGGGUACUAGGUGUGGGGUCCAUUCCACGGGUUCCGCGCCGUAGCUAACGCUUUAAGUACCCCGCCUGGGGAGUACGGCCGCAAGGCUAAAACUCAAAGGAAUUGACGGGGCCCCGCACAAGCGGCGGAGCAUGCGGAUUAAUUCGAUGCAACGCGUAGAACCUUACCUGGGUUUGACAUGGAUCGGGAGUGCUCAGAGAUGGGUGUGCCUCUUUUGGGGUCGGUUCACAGGUGGUGCAUGGCUGUCGUCAGCUCGUGUCGUGAGAUGUUGGGUUAAGUCCCGCAACGAGCGCAACCCUUAAGCUUAGUUGCCAUCAUUAAGUUGGGCACUCUAAGUUGACUGCCGGUGACAAACCGGAGGAAGGUGGGGAUGACGUCAAAUCAUCAUGCCCCUUAUGAUUUGGGCUACACACGUGCUACAAUGGACAAUACAAAGGGUAGCGAAACCGCGAGGUCAAGCAAAUCCCAUAAAGUUGUUCUCAGUUCGGAUUGUAGUCUGCAACUCGACUAUAUGAAGCUGGAAUCGCUAGUAAUCGUAGAUCAGCAUGCUACGGUGAAUACGUUCCCGGGUCUUGUACACACCGCCCGUCACACCACGAGAGUUUGUAACACCCGAAGCCGGUGGAGUAACCAUUUGGAGCUAGCCGUCGAAGGUGGGACAAAUGAUUGGGGUGAAGUCGUAACAAGGUAACCAAGG
rnacentral:rRNA from 1 species